CAAUUACUCCCGCUGUCCCAAAUUUCUUGUCUUAGAUUUGUCUAGAUACGGAUGUAUCUAAUACUAAAAUGUGACCUGAUACAUCCGUAUCUAGACAAAUCUAAGACAAGAAUUUUGGGAUAGAGGGAGUACUUU
rfam:Triticum aestivum genome assembly, contig: Triticum_aestivum_CS42_TGACv1_scaffold_102191_2AL